rnacentral:rRNA from 1 species
ACACAUGCAAGUCGAGCGCGAAUAGGGGCAACCCUUAGUAGAGCGGCGCACGGGUGCGUAACACGUGGAUAAUCUGCCUGGAUGCUCGGGAUAACCAGUCGAAAGAUUGGCUAAUACCGGAUAAGCCCACGGUUUCUUCGGAGACUGAGGGAAAAGGUGGCCUCUGUAUACAAGCUAUCACAACCAGAUGAGUCCGCGGCCCAUCAGCUAGUUGGCGGGGUAAUGGCCCACCAAGGCGACGACGGGUAGCUGGUCUGAGAGGACGAUCAGCCACACUGGAACUGAGACACGGUCCAGACUCCUACGGGAGGCAGCAGUGGGGAAUUUUGCGCAAUGGGCGAAAGCCUGACGCAGCAACGCCGCGUGUGUGAUGAAGGUCUUCGGAUUGUAAAGCACUUUCGACCGGGACGAAAACCCGUAGCCCAACACGCUACGGCUUGACGGUACCGGGAGAAGAAGCACCGGCUAACUCUGUGCCAGCAGCCGCGGUAAUACAGAGGGUGCAAGCGUUGUUCGGAAUUAUUGGGCGUAAAGCGCGUGUAGGCGGCGUGACAAGUCGGGUGUGAAAGCCCUCAGCUCAACUGAGGAAGUGCGCCCGAAACUGUCGUGCUUGAGUGCCGGAGAGGGUGGCGGAAUUCCCCAAGUAGAGGUGAAAUUCGUAGAUAUGGGGAGGAACACCGGUGGCGAAGGCGGCCACCUGGACGGUAACUGACGCUGAGACGCGAAAG